UAAUCAUCUAUCUAUAUAUAUAAAGGGGAGUUUUCUCUCAUCUAUAUAUAUAAAGGGGAGUUUUCUCUCACCUCCUGCUGCCACGUCAUCACGGAGAGUGGGGCUUUUUUUUCGCCACGUCAGCUCCUCUCUUCUCGAAUCAAUUCUGCGAAGCCAAAAACAUCUGGGCUUACGGGCUUAUUUUCUCUAAAUGUUUUUUGUACUAAGCCUAUCUUCAAAUCAAAUGAAGUCCAUAUGCAGAGUCUGAGUGUUUAUUAUUUUUGUAAACUCAGCUGCAUCAAACAGCCCUAAUCGUCGUCUAAGUUAUUUAUCUCUUCAUAUCACCUGAGAACAAAAACUAAAAACGUUACUGAAUCAGUCUGGAUCAAGAGUCUUCUUUGCGAUGAUUAUAUCUUUAAAUUGUGUAUCAGCUUCCGCUGAGAAAAUCUGGUGUCGACCAAAAGCUGGUUCUCUGACUCAACAUUGAAAAGCUGACAAAUCAAGUAAGCUGGUUAGAAGUUUCUCCAUCGAUUUUCAAGCUCUCAGUGGAUUGGAUUUCUGCAGGUUAGGAUUCAAAAUCAUAUCAAAAAGUAGACAAACAGUUUUGUUGUAAUCAAUCUAAUUGUGUUCUGUAUAUCAUUCACAGAGACAAUAAAAGACUCUGGCCCCGGAUUACAAUCCGCACAUACCAAUUGGAGACGAUUAUUUAUGGAAGCACUUAAGAACCAUACCAAACAUCAAUGUGUAUUAUCAAACAGGUUUUGGAACAGCAGCUCCGAAGCUGGUCAUCAGUGAAGAAGAAUAUGAUCGAAUCAAACAAGCCUUAUUCAUUUACCUAAGAAACUGUUAACAAAGGAGGCCCUAACAGAUUGAUCCAAGAGAUCAGCACUAGAGAAAACGAUGAGAAUGCAAAUCGUAACAUCGCCAAUAUGGAGAAGAUCCACGGUAAGGAAAUAGAGAAACCAGUCGUGAGUCACGUAGUUGCUCUAUGCAGUGGUGCUGUCGGUGUUGAUGCUACUGCUUUGUCACUUCAGAAAAGCAUGUACUCAACCAGUCGUGUCACGUAGUCACGUAGUUGCACUCUUCAGAAAAGCAUGUACUCAAUUAUACCUCUCUCUUAACUGCUCCAUUGCUCAGCAACUACAACACAUUGGAUCUCCUCGGAGACCCUAUUCUGUGGACACCGUUCCUUCCACCAGAAUCUUCUUAUACUUCAGAGGUGACAAAGACAGAGACGAGCUGUUCCACAUAUAGCUACCUUCCACAGGAGAAGUGAGCUAUUCCCUUUAGAUGUUGAUGAUUCUCCUUAUCGUGAGAUGGAUUGUCAGUGAAACUGCUGAAGUCGAACCAACUCCAUAAGAUACAAAGAUGGACCAAGGAGAGGAAUAAACUGCAGAAAACAAAGAAGUUUCAAUAUUAUGGCUGAGGGCCUUGAGAACAAUAAUGUUACUUUUGAGGAGGUAGACUAUAUGCAGUUUUGGUAUUCAUUUUGUA